rnacentral:rRNA from 1 species
AUACGGAGGAUGCGAGCGUUGUCCGGAUUUAUUGGGUUUAAAGGGUGCGUAGGCUGUGCGUUAAGUCAGGGGUGAAAUGCCGUCGCUCAACGACGGAGCUGCCCUUGAUACUGGCGUGCUGGAGUACGGAUGCCGUUGGAGGAAUGAGUGGUGUAGCGGUGAAAUGCUUAGAUAUCACUCAGAACACCGAUUGCGAAGGCAUCUGACGAAUCCGUCACUGACGCUGAGGCACGAAAGCGUGGGGAUAGAACAGGAUUAGAUCCCCUGGUAUUCCACGCCGUAAACGAUGAUGACUAACCGUCGGCGAUAGACAGCCGGUGGCCAAGCGAAAGCGAUAAGUCAUCCACCUGGGGAGUACGUCGGCAACGAUGAAACUCAAAUGAAUUGACGGGG